rnacentral:lncRNA from 1 species
CGCGAGAGAAUAAAUGAAUAAUGAUAUGGAUGGAAGGUUGACGCGUGGCUAAGGAAGCUGACGCUGUGCGAUGAAGCUGACGCUCGAGAAAAAGAAAACAGCGUUGUGGAGGUAACGGAAAAUGUUUCGUUGACACCCUUCAUUUAACACACUUUUGACACACGCCACAUGGCCUCGUUCGGUUGGUUGUUUGGGUGAAAAAACUCAACUCUUUUUUAAAUGAUCCGGAGGGUAAUUUUGGAAAACGAAAUGUUUGAAAUUUAAUUUUCGCAGUUUCAUUUUUAUCCUUCGUUCAAUUUGGCUUGGGUCUGUCCCCUCCUCUCUCCAUUGGCCUCCUCCUCUCUCCAUUGGCCUCCUUCUUUCUCCAUUCGCUUCAUCUCUCACAUUGCUCCCUAACGCGCUUCAGCUCUCUUUCUCGUUUUGGGUUUGUUUGGCGUUGUUGCUAUGUUUCGUUUUGGGUUUGGGUGUCUUUCGCUUUUUCACUAAGUUCUUUUCUCGUUUUGGGUUUGUUUAGUGUUGUGGCUUUGUUUCGUUUUGGGUUUGGGUGUCUUUCGCGUUGUCGCUCUCUUUCUCAUUGUCUCGCUUCUCGAACACUAGUGUAUUUUUGUUGUCUUUAUUGUUUUUGUGUUUUGUGAACCCUAAUCCACUUCCAUUGAUUUAUUUGUAUGAAAUAUGUGCAGUUGCAAUGGCGUCAACAUACAGUGGUCCAUGAUAAUGAACAAAGAAUAAGAUAUCAGUCUCUGUCCUCCUUUGGUUAUGUGGAGAAUGAAGAGGGAGUAUGGGUUCCGAAAGGGACACAACCAAUGAACAACAUCAACGUACAGUGGUCCAUGACAUUGAACAACCAAUGUUUCCUGUAUUAUAUUUGAUAAAAUCUUAAGUAGUGAAAUAAAGUCGUAAUUAAUAGACAGUAAAACACUAGAUAAUCACCUACAACGUUCAAAACAGACUGCUAUUCACCAGUGGUCCUCCACGUUUUCACUGGUGGCUCCUUCUAUUCAACAGGAUGUGCAGAAUCCAAAUCAGAUACGCGUAAUCAAUUACAAACCCUUGUAAACUAUUACAAUGCAAUUUUUUCCACCAGACAUGGCAAAACUUCACUUAACACAAUAAUAUCUCAAUGGGAGGUCCCCACCUCCAACUUGGGGGACCCAAAACAUUAAGAUGCAGUCAUUCCUUACUAAAGAACAUAAAAUUACAACUAAAAGAACUGGACUUGGGUCAAAACACACUACUAUUAACCAGUGGUCCCCCACGUGAUCACCGGUGGCUCCUUCAGUUCAACAGGAUGUGCAGAAUCCAAUUCAGACAUGUGUAAUCGUUUACAACCCCUUGUAAUUGAUUACAAUGCAGUUUUUUGCACCAGACAUGACAAAACUUCACUUAACACUAUAAUCUCUCAAUGGGUGGUCCCCACCUCCAUCUUGGGGGACCCAAAACAUUAAGAUGUAGUUGUUCCUCACUAAAGAACAUAAAAUUACAACUAAAAUAACUGGACUUAGGUCUAAAGACACUGUUAUUCACCAGUGGUCCCCCACGUGUUCACUGGUGGCUCCUUCAGUUCAACAGGAUGUGCAGAAUCUAAUUCAGACACGCGUAAUCGUUUAUAACCCCUUGUAAUCGAUUACAAUGCAGUUUUUUGCACCAGACAUGGCAAAACUUCACUUAACACUAUAAUCUCUCAAUGGGUGGUCCCCACCUCCAUCUUGGGGGACCCAAAACAUUAAGAUGCAGCCAUUCCUCACUAAAGAACAUAAAAUUACAACUAAAAGAACUGGAUUUGGGUCAAAAGACACUACUAUUCACCAGUGGUCCCCCACGUGUUCACUGGUGGAUCCUUCAGUUCAACAGGAUGUGCAGAAACCAAUUCAGACACGCGUAAUCGUUUACAACCCCUUGUAAUCGAUUACAAUGCAAUUUUUUUCACCAGACAUGGCAGAACUUCACUUAACAUUAUAAUCUCUCAAUGGGUGGUCCCCACCUCCAUCUUUGGGGACCCAAAACAUUAAGAUGCAACCAUUCCUCACUAAAGAAUAGAAAAUUACAACUAAAAGAACUGGACUUGGGUCAAAAGACACUGCUAUUCACCAGUGGUCCCCCACGUGUUCACUGGUGGCUCCUUCAGUUCAACAGGAUGUGUAGAAUCCAAUUCAGACACGCGUAAUCGUUUACAACCCCUUGUAAUUGAUUACAAUGCAGUUUUUUGCACCAGACAUGGCGGAACUUCAGUUGUGGUCCCUUAUGUUUUCAUUGGUGCCUCAUCAUGUUCAACAGGUUGUUAAAAAUUGAAAUUACAACACAAUAGUAAACAAUUACAACACACAAUUUAGCAUCAUCAUCUUCACCAAUUCAGUCAAAUUCAUCAUAUCACUAACAUUAUCACUUCCAAAAAAUGGAUUCUUCAAAAUUUAAAAUGUACACCAAAUCAAAAUAUAAACCACUUCAAUAACAUAAAUACAUGUAACCAAACAUUCAUCUACUAUAUAUUGCAAGAUAUAGGUUUAAUUACAACAUCAAGUUCUUAUCCUAUUCAACAUCAAGUUCUUGUCCUAUUCAAAAUACCAUACAAUAAUCACUAAUUUUUCUUUCUAGGUCCUACAAUUCCUGUGUAUGGUGUCCUCAAGGCUUGGCUCUUAUAACGCAUUCUUCUUCCCAUCCUCACAUAGGUCUUCAAUUGUGGUUCGGUGUUGCACAUUACAUCCGGUGUGUUCUGCGACAUUCCACCAUGUUCGGUCUGAGAAAUAAUAACGAACCAUUGCUCAUCCGUCAAGUACUCGUUCAAAGUGCAAACAUACAUCGUUGAAAAAUAAUGACGAACCGUCAACUGCUCAACCAAAAACAAAACAAAUGUAAACACAAAAGGAAAUAACAAAAAAACCCAAAAACUAAGAACCAAGAACCGAAUACUCAAACCAAAAACCAAAUACCCUAACCACAACAUCAACGAAAACCGACAACAAGAACGCAACAACGCAAGAACCCAAGAACCCAAACCCAAAACCAUAUCAGACCCAACAACGCAUUUACCUUGCUCCAACGAAGCUUUUGUUUGUGACUUCCCAUCUCCACCAAUCACCGAGAACGGAGAACCACUAACCAACAGUCAAACAGAGGAAGCAGGGGGAGAACGACGUAGGGGACAACAAAAUGUGAGAGAGAAAACGAAAUCUGAGACAAAAACAGGCAAAGGGUAUAUUUGGAAAGGAAAAUUUUUCAAACUCUUUUCGUUUUGGUGCCCAAAUUUUUGGAAAAAAAAAAUAAAAUAACCCAACCAAUGACAACUUGACACGUGUGUGUGUCAAAAGUGUGUCAAAAAAGUUGUGUUAAAAUAACGGGAUCCGGAGGUAACGGUGUCUGAUGAGAGAGAAGCACGUGAUUUGGAGAAAUGAAACUGAGAGAGUGUGCUUAGAAGGUGUCUAGUCCGUGUCUUUAGAGAAUUGAUUUUGGUCAUAGAAAAUUCAAUUCU